rnacentral:rRNA from 1 species
UACGGAGGGGGUUAGCGUUGUUCGGAAUGACUGGGCGUAAAGCGCACGUAGGCGGAUUGUUAAGUCGGGGGUGAAAUCCUGGAGCUCAACUCCAGAACUGCCUUCGAUACUGGCGAUCUCGAGUUCGGGAGAGGUGAGUGGAACUGCGAGUGUAGAGGUGAAAUUCGUAGAUAUUCGCAAGAACACCAGUGGCGAAGGCGGCUCACUGGCCCGAUACUGACGCUGAGGUGCGAAAGCAUGGGGAGCAAACAGG